rnacentral:rRNA from 1 species
CGGUAAUAGCUCAAAUUUGAAAUCUGGCUUCGGUCCGAGUUGUAAUUUGUAGAAGAUGCUUCGGGUGUGGCUCCGGUCUAAGUUCCUUGGAACAGGACGUCAUAGAGGGUGAGAAUCCCGUAUGUGACUGGGUGCCUCCGCCUAUGUGAAGCUCUUUCGAC